UACGUAGGUGGCAAGCGUUGUCCGGAGUUAUUGGGCGUAAAGCGCGCGUAGGCGGCCCCGCAAGUCGGCCGUGAAAUCUCCCAGCUCAACUGGGAGGGGUCGGGCGAGACUGCGGGGCUCGAGGUGGGUAGAGGGCAGUGGAAUUCCGGGUGUAGUGGUGGAAUGCGUAGAGAUCCGGAGGAACACCAGUGGCGAAGGCGGCUGCCUGGGCCUGGCCUGACGCUGAGGCGCGAAAGCGUGGGGAGCGAUCCGG
rnacentral:rRNA from 1 species